rnacentral:rRNA from 1 species
AUUGAACGCUGGCGGCAGGCCUAACACAUGCAAGUCGAGCGGAAGAAGGGAGCUUGCUCCUGGAUUCAGCGGCGGACGGGUGAGUAAUGCCUAGGAAUCUGCCUGGUAGUGGGGGAUAACGUCCGGAAACGGGCGCUAAUACCGCAUACGUCCUGAGGGAGAAAGUGGGGGAUCUUCGGACCUCACGCUAUCAGAUGAGCCUAGGUCGGAUUAGCUAGUUGGUGGGGUAAAGGCCUACCAAGGCGACGAUCCGUAACUGGUCUGAGAGGAUGAUCAGUCACACUGGAACUGAGACACGGUCCAGACUCCUACGGGAGGCAGCAGUGGGGAAUAUUGGACAAUGGGCGAAAGCCUGAUCCAGCCAGGCCGCGUGUGUGAAGAAGGUCUUCGGAUUGUAAAGCACUUUAAGUUGGGAGGAAGGGCAGUAAGUUAAUACCUUGCUGUUUUGACGUUACCAACAGAAUAAGCACCGGCUAACUUCGUG